rnacentral:lncRNA from 1 species
GCAUGACCGAAGGGGGCAGCCAUAGUGUGUUGUGGUCGGUUCCAGAUGGCCAAGCACUGGUGCUCAGCAUUGUUUUGCUUCGUGGCCAUUGUGAAGUGGCCGCAAUGCAUUGUGGACGAUUCUGCCAAGGCCAGUACAUGUUCUGAACAUUUUGAAAUGACCACAGUUCAUUCUGAAACCGAUCAGGGCGGGUGUUUGCAGCAGUAUGCUACAGAAAGCAUCAGGACUCUUCUACUACAUGUAUACUAUUACAUGUAGUAGUAGUAUAUUAUAUAUAGUAGUAGUAAUAUAUGCAUAUUAUAUGUAACAAGCUAUCCAUGUAAUAGUAACAUGUAUACUACACACAUAUUGCAU